UGCAUCGGCCGAGAAUCGAACCAGGCGAGCAAUCGUGGCAGGCGAGCAUUCUACCACUGAACCACCUAUGC
rnacentral:tRNA from 1 species